AAGCCUGAUGCAGCAACGCCGCGUGCGGGAUGACGGCCUUCGGGUUGUAAACCGCUUUUAGUAGGGAAGAAGGGCUUCGGCUUGACGGUACCUGCAGAAAAAGGACCGGCUAACUACGUGCCAGCAGCCGCGGUAAUACGUAGGGUCCGAGCGUUGUCCGGAAUUAUUGGGCGUAAAGAGCUCGUAGGCGGUUUGUCGCGUCUGCUGUGAAAAACUGGAGGCUCAACCUCCAGCCUGCAGUGGGUACGGGCAGACUAGAGUGCGGUAGGGGAGAAUGGAAUUCCUGGUGUAGCGGUGGAAUGCGCAGAUAUCAGGAGGAACACCGAUGGCGAAGGCAGUUCUCUGGGCCGUAACUGACGCUGAGGAGCGAAAGCGUGGGGAGCGAACAGGAUUAGAUACCCUGGUAGUCCACGCCGUAAACGUUGGGCGCUAGAUGUGGGGACCUUUCCACGGUUUCCGUGUCGUAGCUAACGCAUUAAGCGCCCCGCCUGGGGAGUACGGCCGCAAGGCUAAAACUCAAAGGAAUUGACGGGGGCCCGCACAAGCGGCGGAGCAUGCGGAUUAAUUCGAUGCAACGCGAAGAACCUUACCAAGGCUUGACAUAACCGAGAACGCCCUAGAAAUAGGGAACUCUUUGGA
rnacentral:rRNA from 1 species